rnacentral:tRNA from 1 species
GCGCCUAUAGCUUAACGGAUAAAGUAGCAGCCUUCGAAGCUGUUGAUGGGGGUUCGAUUCCCUCUAGGCGCGCCA